UUUGGUUCUUGAUUUCCUAUCUAGUGUCACUUCAGUAGCACUCUUUUCAAUAUUCUUGUUUUCUUUUUUGUUUCUUUAUCGUUCCUACAAAGUUUCCCAUAGCAAAGAGGCUCCUAUAGUUCAAGGGGCAUGGCCAAUACUUGGUCACCUACAACUAUUAAAAAAUUCACAAAAACCUCAUAGAACCUUAGGUGCAUUGGCUGAUAAAUAUGGACCCUUGUUCACUAUUAAGCUUGGUUCCAAACGUGCUUUGGUUGUUAGCAAUUGGGAAAUGGCAAAGGAAUGUUUCACAAAAAUUGACUUGGCAAUAUCCAAUCGCCCUAAACUUGAAGCAACUCAACAUUUGGGUUACAAUGGUGCCAUGUUUGCGUUAGCACCCUAUGGUUCUUGUUGGCGCCAAGUAAGGAAGAUUGCAACUUCAGAGAUCCUCAGCCAUAGGCAUGUCGAACAACAACAAUAUUUUCAUACCUCAGAAGUUCAGGCGUGGAUUAAAGAGCUCUUCAAUGUUUGGUUUAGUAAAAAGAACGAGUCAUCAAACUACGCGUUGGUGGAGUUAAAGCAAUGGUUUACUCAAUUAAGUUUCAACAUUGUUCUUCCAGUGCUGGUUGGGAAACGAUAUUUUGGUGCUACGAAUGUGGCGAACGAGGAAGAAGCGCAAAGAUGUAUAAAAGCUUUACAAGAGUUGAUGCGAUUGUUAGGGGUGUUCACAAUAGGAGAUGCCAUUCCUUUUCUAAAAUGGUUUGAUUUUGGUGGCCAUGUGAAGGCCAUGAAAGCAACUUCUAAAGAAUUGGACAAGAUUUUAGGUGAGUUGUUGGAAGAGCGCCGCCAUAAAAGGAGUUUGAGUAAGAAGAUUGAUCAUGAUCAUCAAGACUUCAUGGAUGCCUUGCUUUCAUUGCUUGAUGAAACACCAAUUGAAGGGUGUGAUUCUGAUACUACAAUCAAAGCGACAAUAUUGGUAUGUGCAUACUUGCUAUUUAAAUCAAAUAUCCUUUUAUGCCUCUGUUUGGCAAGGCCAAUAAAUUAGCUUAUAGUGGAUAGCUUAUUAAUUACUUUUUUUUCAAUUAUAAUUCUAAUUAAUAAUAUUUUCAUCAUUCUCAAUUCAAUAUUUUCCACUUUAUUUUUAUGACAAAGACAUUUAAAAUCAUUUUUGUCUCUCUUUCACUUAUAAUUUUUUCUAAUAUAUGUGAAAUAAUCAAAUCACUCACUUAAUUUGAGACGGAGAGAGUACUCUCUGACAAUAGUUUACAUUUUUAUUCUAAUAAUUCUCAAGAUUCAAUGUCAAAUUCCAAGCCCUUAUUUUAAGCAUAAAUAUAAUCAAAGAUUACUUGAGCGUAGCGCCCUUUCGAUUAAUAAUAAUUAAGAAAAAAUAUGAUGUUUUAUUAAUAAUAAAGAAAAUUGUAGAGAGAGGUUUUAUAACUACUCUCAAGAAAAGCUCUAACACAACUCAGAUGGGAGUCCAAAUCUAACCCUAAACGUAAAACUUAUUUAUUCUUUCAUACCUAGAUGUCUUAUAAAUAAAUAAAAAGAACAUUCUAAUAUUUAACCCUAAUAGAUCUCUUAUAUAUUAUUUAAUCAUAAUGUGUCUUUUGAAAUUCGUACUUCUUUUACAGACACUAAUCGGGGGAGGAAUUGAAACAACUAGCGUUACCCUUACAUGGGCAAUAUGUUUGUUGCUUAGAAAUCCUCUAAUAUUGAAAAAAGCAAAAGAAGAACUUGAUGCUCAAGUUGGAAAAGAGAGGUGUGUAAGAAAGUCAGAUAUAGACAAGUUGGUGUACCUUCAAGCCAUAGUCAAAGAAACACUAAGAUUAUAUCCACCUGGCCCUUUAUCUGUGCCUCGUGAAUUCUCAGAGAAUUGUAAUUUAGGUGGAUAUGAUGUAAGAAAUGGAACACGAUUAAUUUUGAAUCUUUGGAAGAUUCACACUGAUCCUAAUGUUUGGUCAGAUCCAUUAGUAUUCAAACCGGAGAGGUUUCUUACAACGCAUAAAGAUAUUGAUUUUAGAGGUAAUCAUUUUGAGCUAUUACCAUUUGGAGGUGGUAGAAGGAUUUGUCCCGGAAUAUCAUUAGGGCUUCAAAUGCUGCAUUUAACUUUGGCUAGUUUUUUGCAUUCCUUUGAAAUCUUAAAUCCAUCAAGUGAACCUAUUGAUAUGAAUGAAACUUUUGGAUUAAGCAACACCAAAACAACUCCUCUUGAGAUUCUUAUAAAGCCACGUUUGUCUUCGAAUUGUUAUGAAAUUAUGUGACUUUGUGUUAGCAUUAUAUUUAUAAUAUUUUGUGUUUUGAAACUUUGUAAUCCUUUGAGACUCAUACUGUGUUAGUUGUGUAAUCCUUUGUGAUAUUUGGUGUACUUCAUUGUUGAUAUGUAAUAUAAUUUGGAUUAAUGUGAAAGUUGUUGAAUUUAUCCUAAUUCAUUUACACAUUUGGUUCCAUGAUUAUAAGCUAACAAGUAUCUUUAAAGUAUUAUUUUAGCAUCUUAAAGUAGUAAUUUUUACAUGUUUCUGAUUUGUAUUUUCAAGGACAAUUUUCUUUUAAAGUUUUUUAAACAAUGCUCUUAAAACACUUGUUAACAAGAUCCUUAUAAUAUUUAUAUGAAAAAUUUUAAUAGAGGAUUAUUUUGUAGAUGUCGAAUUUUUACCUAGCUACCUGAUCUCCUCACCACUAACCUAUGAAUUAUGAUCCAUCCAUUCCAUUCCUAAAAAUCCCCAUUUUUUAUUUUAUCUUACCAACAUACUAAUCAUCAAAGAUGUUGAAUCCAAACAUGUUAUAGUACCCUAAUUUAAUAAGUCCGACCCACUCAAACAGUUUCCGAAAAAUGUCACAAUUGUUGAAUUUUGUAAUAUCUUCCUUCGAUAUAAAAUUUCUUAAAAUAAGUCUUAAAGUCACUAAAAUAGAAUGUCUAUAUUCAUCAAACCCAUUAGCCAGAGCUCGCAUUCUGAAAAUAACUUUUUUGACUUCAAUAACUUCUUAAAAAUACAUGAAAAUGAUAUUUUUUCGUCAAUGAUAGUUAACUACCGCUGAUUUUGUCUUGCCGUAGUUAACUACUAUUCUACAUUUAAAACAAAAAAUUAAAAAUUAAAAAUACUCUAGCGAUAGUUAACUACCGUAGAGCAUUAAAAUUUACUACCUCCGUCCCUAAAUAUAGGAGUCUUUUGCAAAAAUUGCAGAGAUUAAGAAAGUUGGUUGUAGCAUUAAAUUUGUAUAUAAUUACUAUUAUUUUUACAAUUUUAUCCUUAAGAGAAAGAGUUAAUUUAUGUUCUCAACAUAAUACUUUUUUUUUUUUUUGAAGAAACAAAAAUGGUAUAUAUUAACAAAGGCGGUAAAACCUCCUAAGUACAAGAUGUACUAAGAAGUCACCCCUCAAAGAGUCAAACAAAUGUAAUUAUUACAAUAAACCGGGUGCGUCGAUACCUAAACAAAGCAUAGGAUCCGACCACCACCUUUGAGAACCGUACACAAAUGUGGCUUUACUAGCUUUUAGCCACCAUAAAGAGUGUAAUUUUACUUUUUCUCAUAAGCCUUCAAUGGAUGUUUGGGUAUUAUUAAAAAGUCUGUUGUUGCGUUCAUUUCAAACCAUCCACACACAAAGUAACCAAAUGAGCUGCAUAAAGGAUCUACGCGUCCUCGUAUGACCUGUACAAGUAAUAAACUGAAUAAAGUGGUCACUAAGAUCAUGGGGAUCAGCUCCGGACACGCCAAUCCAUGCACAGGAAAAAGAUGCAAAAUAAAUAAGGGUAGGUUGGUAAAGAAAUAAUUAGUGUACUUGAAAAUAUCAAAGGAGUCUUAUAAAAAGUGACAAAUUUUUUUCUCAAAAAGGUCUUAUAAUUAAGGACGAAUGUAACAGUUAUUUUCUACGCAAUUACGCUGAAUGCCUGUGUGCUCACUUUAUAUCAUGUCGGCAGAGGCAACUUCUCCUCAUUUGGAAAGAAAACAAAAAGGGUCAAGAUUCCUCGCCCAUUUUUAUCUCAAGCAUGGCCCAUGUUGAAUAAUAGAGUCACAUGCGUUCAAUGUUGAUAUCUAAAAAUUGCAUAUGUGAGAAAAAAUAAUAAAUUAUCAAAAAAAUUGCAAAUGUCUCUUGUAACAUAUUCGGAGAGUUAUGUCAUUUAGUUCGUGAUUGAAUUUGGGUCUUUAGGGAUAAUUUGUAUGACACUGUUGAUCAUUUUUUUGUACAGUUUACUUAUAUGUCAGGCGGGUUGGGAGUUCGAAUAUCAUUUAUGCAAUUCAUUUGGCUUUUGUGUGUUUAGAUUUUGUGGACUGAAUUUAAUAACAGACUGUUUAAAAAUACGGUAAAUACUCUUCAUAAGUUGUCGGAAAAUGUUAAAAUCCACUCGUAUUGGUGGAUGGCUAGCGUGCCCUUUUGCUGGUCACGCAACUGAAAAAAUGUGGUCACGCAUACCAUAUAUUUGGUUAACUGAAAAAGGUGGUCAUGCAUACCAAUGUCUUCUAUUUCUUCCACUUGCUCCUUCCUUUUUUUCAAAACCCUCCCCUCCCCUCCCCUCCAAACUCCCAAACAAAGCCUAAGAUUAGUCUCUUAGGAUUUAUCAACGUUUAGCCAUUAGUCUCUUCAUCCCAUUACUUCAUCAUAACUUUUCCUUACCUAAUAAAAUGGAUUUGGUUCUUGAUUUCCUAACUAGUGCCACUACACUAGCACUAUUUUCAAUACUCUUGUUUUAUUGUUUGUUUCUUUAUCGUUCCUACAAAGUUUCUCAUAGCAAAGAGGAUCCUAUAGUUCAAGGGGCAUGGCCAAUACUUGGUCACCUCCCACUAUUAAGAUCUUCACAAUCACCUCAUAGAACCUUAGGUGCAUUGGCUGAUAAAUAUGGACCCUUGUUCACUAUUAAGAUUGGUUCCAAACGUGCUUUGGUUCUUAGCAAUUGGGAAAUGGCAAAGG
rnacentral:lncRNA from 1 species